GACGAACGCUGGCGGCGUGCCUAACACAUGCAAGUCGAGCGAGAGACUUCGGUCUCUAGCGGCGGACGGGUGAGUAACACGUGGGCAACCUGCCUUGUAGAGGGGGAUAGCCUUCCGAAAGGAAGAUUAAUACCGCAUAACAUUGUUGAUUCGCAUGAAUCGAUAAUCAAAGGAGCAAUCCGCUACAAGAUGGGCCCGCGGCGCAUUAGCUAGUUGGUGAGGUAACGGCUCACCAAGGCGACGAUGCGUAGCCGACCUGAGAGGGUGAUCGGCCACAUUGGGACUGAGACACGGCCCAGACUCCUACGGGAGGCAGCAGUGGGGAAUAUUGCACAAUGGGGGAAACCCUGAUGCAGCAACGCCGCGUGAGUGAUGAAGGCCUUCGGGUUGUAAAGCUCUGUCUUCGGGGACGAUAAUGACGGUACCCGAGGAGGAAGCCACGGCUAACUACGUGCCAGCCGCCGCCGUAACAC
rnacentral:rRNA from 1 species